rnacentral:rRNA from 1 species
UACGUAGGUGGCAAGCGUUGUCCGGAUUUACUGGGCGUAAAGAGCGCGCAGGCGGUCGUUCAAGUCGGGUGUGAAAGCCCCCGGCUCAACUGGGGAGGGUCACGCGAUACUGAUCGACUCGAAGGCAGGAGAGGGUAGUGGAAUUCCCGGUGUAGUGGUGAAAUGCGUAGAUAUCGGGAGGAACACCAGUGGCGAAGGCGACUACCUGGCCUGUUCUUGACGCUGAGGCGCGAAAGCUAGGGGAGCAAACGGG